AGGUGUGAGAGGGGUCCAGCUUCAUGUGUCUCCCCGUUGACAGCCAGAGUGGAUUCAGUGCAUCUGGCUGGGGAGGCAGACACCCCUGUCUUCUUCACUCCCCUGUGUGUCCAUCCUGGCUGGGUGUAGAGGGCCUGUGCACACAGAUACACACUGGAGAAGGCAGGACAGUGAAGCACACAGCUUACCUCUUCAGUGGAGUGAGGUG
rnacentral:lncRNA from 1 species